UACGAAGGGGGCUAGCGUUGCUCGGAAUCACUGGGCGUAAAGCGCACGUAGGCGGAUUUCUAAGUCAGGGGUGAAAUCCUGGAGCUCAACUCCAGAACUGCCUUUGAUACUGGGAAUCUUCGAGUCCGGGAGAGGUGAGUGGAACUGCGAGUGUAGAGGUGAAAUUCGUAGAUAUUCGCAAGAACACCAGUGGCGAAGGCGGCUGACUGGUCCGGUUCUGACGCUGAGGCGCGAAAGCGUGGGGAGCAAACAGG
rnacentral:rRNA from 1 species